rnacentral:rRNA from 1 species
GUGAAUGCUGGCGGUAUGGAUAAGGCAUGCAAGUCGAAUGGGUUUAGACCCAUGGCAGACGAGGUAGUAACACGUAGGAACGUACCCGGAAGUCGGGCAUAACCGGUCGAAAGAUCGGAUAAUUCCCGAUAUGUCGCAAGAUGAAAGAUUUAUCGCUCCCGGAGCGGCCUGCGUAAUAUCAGCUAGUUGGUGAGGUAAUGGCUCACCAAGGCUAUGACGUUUAGGGGACCUGAGAGGGUGACCCCCACCGAUGAUACUGAGACACGGAUCAUACCCCUACGGGGGGCUGCAGCCGAGAAUAUUCGACAAUGGGCGAAAGCCUGAUCGAGCGAUACCGCGUGGUGGAUGAAGCGAUUCGUCGCGUAAACAUCUUUUAUGAGGGAGGAAGUUAUUGACGUUACCUCAUGAAUAAGGGGCUCCUAACUCUGU